rnacentral:rRNA from 1 species
CCUACGGGCGGCAGCAGUGGGGAAUAUUGCACAAUGGGGGAAACCCUGAAGCAGCGACGCCGCGUGAGUGAAGAAGGAAUUCGUUAUGUAAAGCUCUAUCAGCAGGGAAGAAAAUGACGGUACCUGAGUAAGAAGCCCCGUCUCACUACGGGCCAGCAGCCGCGGUUAUACGUAGGGGGCCAGCGUUAUCCGGAUUUACUGGGUGUAAAGGGAGCGUAGACGGCAGUGCAAGUCUGGAGUGAAAGGCGGGGGCUCAACCCUCGGACUGCUCUUGAAACUGUACGGCUGGAGUGCAGUAGAGGUAAGUGGAAUUCCUAGUGUAGCGGUGAAAUGCGUAGAUAUUAGGAGGAACACCAGUGGCGAAGGCGGCUUACUGGACUGUAACUGACGUUGAGGCUCGAAAGCGUGGGGAGCAAACAGGAUUAGAUACCCUGGUAGUC